GGGGAUUUGGCUCAGUGGUAGAGCGCUUGCCGAGGAAGCGCAAGGUCCUGGGUUCGGUCCCCAGCCCCCA
rnacentral:tRNA from 1 species